UCGGGUUGUCACAUCAUCCCCAACUUGAAAGAAAUUUCGUCCCGAAAUUUGACAAGUAAGAACUGAGGAGUGAAGUGAGGAAAUUAGGAUUAUUGCGGAUUUUGCUCGGGUGUCACAAAAACCCUAACCAAGAAACACUCUCCACAUCCUAGCCCCCAAACCCUAACCUCCGUCUCCUUUCUUUUUGUUCAGAAGGGCGCAAAAAGAAAAAAAAACGAUGAAGAAAUUAAAAAACACUCAAACACUGAUUUGAAGUUCAGAAGGGCGCAAAAAGACAAAACAACGAAGAAAUUAAAAAAACAUUCAAACACCGAUUUGAAGAAACCAUAACCAAAUCGUAGGUUUUUCCUAUUCUUUUAUAUAUACACACACUUUUGAUUUUCAUUCUUAGGUAUCCAUACAUGUAUUUUCAAGUGUUUGCUUCUUGGAGUAGCCUCUGCUAGCCAUGGUGGCUUAAGGUUCGUAUUUAUUUUUGAUGAAGAAUGUCGUUCAAUUUGUUGUUUUUAAGGAAUAAUAGUUUGAUUUUAAGAGGGUUCAUUUUAAAUUUAGCUUUUUAGUUGAUACCUAAGAAGAAAAUCGUUGAAUUUUGGUUCAUGGGUUAUGUGAUUUUGAGGCAUACCCACUGUAAUAACUAAAAUUUCAUUCUUGGUGUUUAAAUACUCUACUUUGGCUUCACUAACCUCGCAUUUCUAGAUAACCAGUGAAAUAUUAGUAUCCAGUGCAACAUAUAAGCCAUGGAGUUUGUUGGUAGCUUUAAUAUAUGCAUACAACUAAUUUGCAAAAUAUUUUAUUUAUCUUCGAUGUGCAUUUUAUAGAUGGUAGAAAGAAUGAAAUUAUGCAAUAUGGUUGUUGAGGUUAGGGGUAAGAAUGGCAUUGUUCCCGCCGAUGCUACUACCUAUAAAUACCUUGAGGUUAGUUUCGUAAUUUUACGUCGGUGGAUGAGGCUUUAUUGCAAAUUAUGAAAUAAGAAACUUUCAUUUCAGCACAAAACUUCAAUGUCAUAUUAACUGGUCUACAGUGAUGCUCGAGCAGGGUAACUCAAUCUUUAAUCUUACAAUUUUAAAAAAAGUAUGAAUGGUGUGUUAAAAUUUAGCCAAUAUGACUCAAAUUCACAAGUGUUUAAAAAGUGAAUGAAUGCCAGUAGUUGAAUCUGAGUAUUUAAAAUUAAACUGGUCAUUUUUUAUAUCCUAAAUAGGUGGCUGUCUUUGACUUGAUAUGAUUGUCUACAAUCCAAGCUUCACUCAGCUUCGAUCAUUAGACAAGGCUGACUGCUUAUACAGUUUCAUGUCUCAUUGAUUUUGGUAUGUUAGGGUUUGCGUUUCUUUGUUUGUUUAUUCUUUGUAAUUUUCUAUUUUUAUACAUAUAUAUAGUGGAGGAAACCAUCCCGUUAUGACUAUUUCACUGAUUGCUCUGGGAACUCGAAAUGGCUCAAUUGACGAUAUUGAUGUAUCUACAAAUGUUGUAGCUGCAAGUUUUUAUGUUCAUGAUGGUGUUGGAAGAGGGCUAAAUAAGCUUAAAAUGGAGUUUGAUCAUGAAGAUUCGUUUUCAAUUGCCUUGCUUGGUGUAGGCGGCGUUACAGCGCUUUGGUUAGCUGCAAACAAAUUCGGAUCCAUUUGAUGGUAUACCUUUGGUGUGUUAUUUUGUUUAUGUACUACUAAACUAAAAUAUUAGAUCUUAAUAUAUCAAAACCUGUCUUAUAAGUUGGCGUUUAAGGAAAAUGGUUUAACCUGUCUUAAUAUAUCAUAACAUUUUUCCAAAGUGAUGGAAGUGGGUGGUCUUGGCUACACUAUUUGGUUCACUGCACAUGACUUGUUCCUAAGGUAUGUAAUCUAGACUGCUAUUUGGCUGACUUGUUUGACUGACUUUCUAUUUAUUUGACUCACUUAAUCUAUUUCACUUUUAAGUAAAAUUUUGGGAAGCACAAGGUGUUUAUUCAUGAGGUUAUGGCCUCUUAAAUCAUGUUAUUUUAAAAAUGGAUAAAUUUGUUUAUUUUUUUCUCUUCUGAGUAAUCAGCUUAGAUUAUCAAGGGCAUGUUGAAAUUCCAAAAGUUUAAAAAAACAAAGGGUUUUAGUAAGAAAUUUUUUUAUCAUGCUUGCUAAUAACUUUUAUUAUCAAAAUUACUAAUGAAUUACCAUGUACUCUUUAUUUAUCCUUGCUUCUUUCAUCAACUCCCACGAUUGUUAGCUUGUGGUUAGCAAUGGUGAAAUAUAGUAGUUGGUUUAAGGAAGCAUCAAUCACCCUAAUUAGGCUUGUUUCUCCCAAGUCAAAGGCAACUUUGACCGUAUCUAUUUACAAAAAAAACAUAAAAUUAUUUUCUUAUUAUUAUCAAAAGAUAUAAAAUUUCAUUAUAUUUUUGUAGAAGUAAACCCACAUCAACAAUACAUUAUUUACAACCAACUUUCAAUUAAAGAACAACAAUUUUUUGGAAGUGAUUUGGAAUCCCUCAGGUUUAAGGCACCCAAACAUCAUAAGUUCAUAACACUUCAUGGGUACCGUGUAGAACAGGGACAAGACAUGUUUGUGUAUGAUUAUGUAAGAAAUCUCUCUCUUGACCAUGAUUUGCAUUCUGAAGUAAACAUGCUUUUAUCUUGGCGCAUGCAUCUCAAAAUUUGUAUUAGCCAAUGAUAUAAAGUAAUCAUCUCAUCUUUACUUGAAUCAUUAAUUAAUAUGUGUUUCUCAUUGGUGCUAUUUUGAAUAUGAUAUCUUCAGCUCCUUGCAUGCUAUUUCGAAUAACCAACUCAUGAUUUUUUUGUAGCUUUUUUAAACAAAAAACGGAUAAACAAGUCUUUGCUGCGGGUCAGGUGUGUUAAUGAAUAAGGCCAGUUUGUGGUCAUCAAAUAACAAACAUUAUGCAUACGGUUAUUUUUAUCAUUAUAUUUUUUUUUUGCCACACAAUUUUUAUCACUAAAAGCUAAGAACAAGUUUGUGGUCAUCAAAUAACAAACUUUAUCUGUUAUGUUCUGCAGGCUAUCUUCAAUGAUACAGAAGAAUUUGUAUUAUACUUCGAUUAUUUGUGUCAUAUGGUACAGAUCAAUAAGAUUUUGGAAGGAAACUCUUUAGUGUUAGAAAAUUAGCAUGCAUUCUUGUGACAACUGCCACAAAACCGGUUGCUACGCCUACACAACAAAGCCGGUGAACGUUUACGACGCGAGUUACGCAAAACUGCAACUAGAUGGAUGUAUGCGCGGUUCCCUUGUUCAAGCUGUUUGUUUAUGUUUCAAGUUGUUUUGAGUCGAUGCUCCAUGCCACCUUUGCAGGAUUUGCUCGUUAUCUGUGACAACCCGAGCUUUCAAGGUCUUUCCUCGACACGUUGCUUGUUUUCACAACUAUGUUCUCAUAAUUCAUUGCGUUGUAACGGGUGCACGUUUGCUAUAUUAUUAUUUUAUUAUUGUUUGGUCUUAUGAUUAAUGAAUUUGAUUAAGGUAUUGAAAACUCA